CGAGUACUUUUUUUUGCUAAAACACGUGAACUGUCCGGACUAAACGAAGUGAAUUAUGAAUUAAGUUCUCCAAAAAUUGUUGCAUCCGAUCUUUUGCUUAAAAUUUGUAAAGACUUUAACUUGGAAGUGAUUAGAGAAAGUUUAAUUCUAGCUAUUAACGAAAGCUACUGUGAAGAUUUGCAUUCAGAACUACAAUUAAACGAAGGUGACGAAAUUGCUAUCAUACCACCGAUAAGUGGUGGAUAAUAUAUACAUAACUAAAAAUUUGUGGGAUUGCGAUAGAUCGGAAUAUAAUGAAUCAUUUGAUACUUACCCGCGAUAUUUUAAAUGUUGGUGAAAUUAGUGACACCGUAUCCGCUAAAUCUUGUGGAGCAAUAUCAUUAUUUGUCGGUACGACCCGUGAUUGUUUUGAGGGAAAAAGGGUAUGUUCAUUGGAGUAUGAAGCCUACGAACCAAUGGCUAUUAAACAAAUUGAACUUAUUUGUAAGGAGCUUAGGCGUCAAUGGCCAGACAUAGUAAAUAUCGCAAUAUGCCACCGUUUGGGUUUAGUAGAAGUUCGAGAGGCCAGUGUCGUGAUUGCUAUUUCUUCACCACAUCGUAAAACAUCAUUGGACGCAGUCGGGGUUGCAAUAGAUGAACUUAAGAAACGUGUACCGAUCUGGAAGAAAGAAAUAUACGAUGAAAAUGAAUCCACUUGGAAAGAGAACAAGGAAUUUUUAAGUCUUUUAGGUGAGAAGUGGAAUCUGAACGGAUAUUUUAUUAACAACGAAUUUUUACCUAACGUUUCCAAAAUGAAAAAACUUUCAACAUUGAAAGUGGAUGAGCUAAAACAGCUAUUACGCGAACGUGAAUUACCAACAUCAGGUUCAAAGGCAGAACUUGUUCAACAUGUAGCUAAUAUGCAACGUCAACAUGUCAAUACAAUUUCUAACGAAUACCCAAGCUCACGUCAAAAUGCAAAUUAUUCUGCUCGAACGUGUGGAACGUGUAGAUAGUGCAAUACAGGCAUAUCGAUGGGAAGAAAAGUGUUUACUUUUUGCGGUGUACAGUAAAAUGAAAGGCGCCGCUCGUUUAUGGUUAGAUUCUCUUCAAGUUCUUCAUUCCAAAUAGAAUGAUUUUUCCAGAGUGUUAAAAAGAGAAUUUGUAGCGACACAAGAUGAAGCAGAAAUUCAUUUUAAAAUGAUAAGUGCCGUUCGGAAAAGUGAUGAAAAAGUAACGGAUUAUUGUUUUAGAAUUUGCGCGCUCGGUAAACGAUACAAGUUGAGUGAAAAAGCAAUCGUUAAAUAUAUUCGGGAAGGACUACAGAAUCGCGAAAUUCAAGUUGCUAUCGCUACUCAUAAAAUCGAUUCGGUUAAACAAUUACGGGAAAUUUUAAGUGGAAAAGUCUCAAAUUGGAGAUCCGAGCAAUACCUUUAAAUCCUUAAAUGAAACUAUACCGCCGGCUGGUUUAUUGACAUACGACAGAAAAAUGUAUUCCGUAACUGACAUAGAUACUCACCCCUAUUCUGCAUUUCGAUUACGUUUACGCAUUCAGUUACGCAGCGAUCGAAAAAAGGUAUUCCAACAAAAAACUGAAUCGUAAGAAAAAGAAGAAGCAAUACCAUAUCGUUUCAAUGCUUUACAAAUGUGUGUAUUCUGCGUU